GGCUCUGUGGCGCAAUGGAUAGCGCAUUGGACUUCUAGAAGCUGAAGGGAUUCAAAGGUUGUGGGUUCGAGUCCCACCAGAGUCG
rnacentral:tRNA from 1 species